GGACCCGCACAAGCGGUGGAGCAUGUGGUUUAAUUCGAAGCAACGCGAAGAACCUUACCAAGUCUUGACAUCCCAAUGACGUAGGAGUAACGUCCUAUUCCCUUCGGGGCAUUGGAGACAGGUGGUGCAUGGUUGUCGUCAGCUCGUGUCGUGAGAUGUUGGGUUAAGUCCCGCAACGAGCGCAACCCUUAUCUUUAGUAGCCAGCAGUAAGAUGGGAACUCUAGAGAGACUGCCGGGGAUAACCCGGAGGAAGGUGGGGAUGACGUCAAAUCAUCAUGCCCCUUAUGAUUUGGGCUACACACGUGCUACAAUGGCGUGAACAGAGGGAAGCGAAGGGGUGACCUGAAGCAAAUCCCAAAAAACACGUCUCAGUUCGGAUUGUAGUCUGCAACUCGACUACAUGAAGCUGGAAUCGCUAGUAAUCGCGAAUCAGAAUGUCGCGGUGAAUACGUUCCCGGGUCUU
rnacentral:rRNA from 1 species